AUUGAACGCUGGCGGCAUGCUUUACACAUGCAAGUCGAACGGUAACAGGCCGCAAGGUGCUGACGAGUGGCGAACGGGUGAGUAAUGCAUCGGAACGUGCCCAGUCGUGGGGGAUAACGCAGCGAAAGCUGCGCUGAUACCGCAUACGAUCUAUGGAUGAAAGCGGGGGACCGUAAGGCCUCGCGCGAUUGGAGCGGCCGAUGUCGGAUUAGGUAGUUGGUGAGGUAAAGGCUCACCAAGCCAACGAUCUGUAGCUGGUCUGAGAGGACGACCAGCCACACUGGGACUGAGACACGGCCCAGACUCCUACGGGAGGCAGCAGUGGGGAAUUUUGGACAAGGGGCGCAAGCCCGAUCCAGCAAUGCCGCGUGCAGGAAGAAGGCCUUCGGGUUGUAAACUGCUUUUGUACGGAACGAAACGGCUCUCACUAAUACUGGGGGCUAAUGACGGUACCGUAAGGAUAAGCACCGGCUAACUACGUGCCAGCCGCCGCGGUAAUAC
rnacentral:rRNA from 1 species